rnacentral:rRNA from 1 species
CGCGGCCUAUCAGCUUGUUGGUGAGGUAAUGGCCUACCAAGGCGACGACGGGUAGCCGGCCUGAGAGGGCGACCGGCUACACUGGGACUGAGACACGGCCCAGACUCCUACGGGAGGCAGCAGUGGGGAAUAUUGCGCAAUGGGCGAAAGCCUGACGCAGCGACGCCGCGUGAGGGACGACGGCCUUCGGGUUGUAAGCCUCUUUCAGCAGGGACGAAGCGAAAGUGACGGUACCUGCAGAAGAAGCACCGGCCAACUACGUGCCAGCAGCCGCGGUAAUACGUAGGGUGCAAGCGUUGUCCGGAAUUAUUGGGCGUAAAGAGCUCGUAGGCGGUCUGUCACGUCGGAUGUGAAAACUCGGGGCUCAACCCCGAGCCUGCAUUCGAUACGGGCAGACUUGAGUUCGGCAGGGGAGACUGGAAUUCCUGGUGUAGCGGUGAAAUGCGCAGAUAUCAGGAGGAACACCGGUGGCGAAGGCAGGUCUCUGGGCCGAUACUGACGCUGAGGAGCGAAAGCGUGGGGAGCGAACAGGAUUAGAUACCCUGGUAGUCCACGCCGUAAACGGUGGGUGCUAGGUGUGGGGAACUUUCCACGUUCUCCGUGCCGCAGCUAACGCAUUAAGCACCCCGCCUGGGGAGUACGG